rnacentral:rRNA from 1 species
GGCGGCAUGCUUACACAUGCAAGUCGAACGGUAACAGGUUAAGCUGACGAGUGGCGAACGGGUGAGUAAUGUAUNCGGAACGUGCCCAGUCGUGGGGGAUAACUGCUCGAAAGAGCAGCUAAUACCGCAUACGACCUGAGGGUGAAAGCGGGGGAUCGCAAGACCUCGCGCGAUUGGAGCGGCCGAUAUCAGAUUAGGUAGUUGGUGGGGUAAAGGCUCACCAAGCCAACGAUCUGUAGCUGGUCUGAGAGGACGACCAGCCACACUGGGACUGAGACACGGCCCAGACUCCUACGGGAGGCAGCAGUGGGGAAUUUUGGACAAUGGGCGCAAGCCUGAUCCAGCCAUGCCGCGUGCGGGAAGAAGGCCUUCGGGUUGUAAACCGCUUUUGUCAGGGAAGAAAAGGUUCUGGCUAAUACCUGGGACUCAUGACGGUACCUGAAGAAUAAGCACCGGCUAACUACGUGCCAGCAGCCGCGGUAAUACGUAGGGUGCAAGCGUUAAUCGGAAUUACUGGGCGUAAAGCGUGCGCAGGCGGUUAUGCAAGACAGAGGUGAAAUCCCCGGGCUCAACCUGGGAACUGCCUUUGUGACUGCAUAGCUAGAGUGCGGCAGAGGGGGAUGGAAUCCCGCGUGUAACAGUGAAAUGCGUAGAUAUGCG